rnacentral:rRNA from 1 species
UAGGGAAUCUUCCGCAAUGGGCGAAAGCCUGACGGAGCAACGCCGCGUGAGUGAUGAAGGGUUUCGGCUCGUAAAACUCUGUUAUUAGGGAAGAACAAAUGUGUAAGUAACUGUGCACAUCUUGACGGUACCUAAUCAGAAAGCCACGGCUAACUACGUGCCAGCAGCCGCGGUAAUACGUAGGUGGCAAGCGUUAUCCGGAAUUAUUGGGCGUAAAGCGCGAGUAGGCGGUUUCUUAAGUCUGAUGUGAAAGCCCACGGCUCAACCGUGGAGAGUCAUUGGAAACUGGGAAACUUGAGUGCGGAAGAGGAAAGUGGAAUUCCAGGUGUGGCGGUGAAAUGCGCAGAGAUAUGGAGGAACACCAGUGGCGAAGGCGACUUUCUGGUCUGUAACUGACGCUGAUGUGCGAAAGCGUGGGGAUCAAACAGG